AGUUGACAGGAGAAAGAAAUAGAAUACAUAUCCCUACAUCGCCAGUUUCUGAUCCUAAAGGGGCUGUUGAAGAAAAAGAAGAAGAAGGAACAAAAGAAGACACAGUGGGUGAUGACAAUAGUGAAUCAGCCUCUCCUAUCUCACCACCAGCUGCAGGUCCAAUGGAUGACGCACAUGUUGAAAUGAACAAAGCAAAGCAACAGGAGAAA